rnacentral:lncRNA from 1 species
GUCCUGAGAGUUUUCACUCUCGGGGACCGGUCCCUGAAAGGAGAGACCGGUCCCCCAGUGAGCAGUGUUGCGGCAGCCCUGAGGCAACCGGUCCCUGGCGGGCGAGACCGGUCCCCGUGCGCGCCUUCGCAGAGAGAGACCGGUCCCACGCAGGGAGAGACCGGUUCCCGAACGUUGGUUUUUCGGGUUCGCAGCGAGAGACCGGUCCCUGCUGGGGAGAGACCGGUCCCUCUGGGCGAAAACUGCCCAGACCGGGCUGUUGCAAUAUUGGAUUUUUGAGGGACCUAGUUGGAUUUUGUUACAAUAGAGGGUCUAUAUGACCCAUCCACUCUCUCUUCUCCUCAUUUCUCUUCUCUCAACUCUCUCUACACCCUUGAUAGAGAAGAAGAAGAAGAAGGAGAAGGGGAAGAAGGAGGGAAGAAGAAGAAGUUUGAGAGCUACUAGUGGACUUGGAGCAUCUUCCUCACCCUAUCUUCUUCCUUGGUGCUUGGUGCUUGGACUUGGAGCUUGCAAGAGAGAAGAUCUUCACCCUUUGAGCUUGGAUUGAAGCUUCUUAGAGGUUGGUAGCCCUUUCUCUCCAUCUAGACUUUGGAUUUGAGGUUUUCUUGUGUUGGAACCCUAGAAUGAGAUUUUAGGGUUGAUUUUGGGGCUUUUUGAUCUAGGGCUUUUGGAGCUUGAUCACUUGGAUUAGAGCCUUCCUUUGGGUUGGAUUGGAAGGGAUUUAGCUCUCUUUUGGAGCUUAGGAAGAGAUUUUGCACUAGAGGUGAGUUUUGACCCUAUUUUUGAGAUGGUUAAUGUUUGAUCCUAUAGUUGAUCGUAAUGCCCGUGUAUCUCUUCGCUCAAUACUUUUAGGGUAUUUUGAGACUCGUGGACAACUCCGUUCGGCGAAUCGAAGGAGCACGCGACGGUUCGGUGGGUUUGACCUAGCCACACAAUGAGAAAAUCUCAUUGUUGAUGAUUUAAGUGUUAUAAAAUGAAAAAGCAUGCAUAUUCUUGUUAUAUGUAUUUAUUGUGAAUUUUAGAAUGCUUAAAAUGCCUAUGUUGCAUAUAGUAAAAUUUUGGGCCUCUAUGUAGUAGAGAGCAUGCAUGUGUGAUAUAGCAUUCUGGUUGAGAUUUGAAACUAAGAUCCCUAUUAUGAAAAUGAACCUUGCUUUCAUGCAUUUAGCUUAUUUGCCAAUUGUGACAUUAGGGAUUUUUGGAAGCCUAGAGAGGCUUGAGGACUUAGACUAUUUGAGAGAUUGGGCCAAUGUCAUAAAGAGGCAUUGGGCCCGGGCUAAAGUGAACCUUGCUAGUAUUGUUUUAAUUGGAAUAUGGAACAUGAAUUGGGCAUGAUUAGUUGUGAUGCUUAAGUGUCAAAAAGAGGCACUAAGCAAGUGUGUGCGUUGGAGCGUCACUUUGAGACUUUGGACUAGAUCCUUGGGAUGCUAGUGACCUUGCCAUGUGAGAGGCAUGAGAGUAGAGUACUUGAGACUUUGACCUUGCUUGUUUGCCAUUUGUGCUCAUUCGCACAUGCUUGUGAGGGUCGCUCCCUACAAGCCGGCACUCCGGAGUUAGCCUACGCGACUUAUGUUCGCUCGUGCGGUAUUGAGAAGCCUACGGGUUCGAGUGAGACAGACACAUUCCAAGAGUAGGGAUGUUGGGCUACCACAGGCACUUAGGCGGCAUAAGCUGGACUACCUUGGGUAGGUCCUUAAUUGGAAAUGGGAAUCGACACGGGACGAGCUUGUUAUAAUCACUACUAAAUAGAGAGUAGUAGUUGGAUUACUCGGACUUGCUUCUAGCAUAGAUUUGAACUUUGGGUAUACAUACAUACAUGUAGUAUGCUAGGAGAUAUUGCUUAUUUGCAUUCAUAUAAACAAUGUUGCGAUGAUAUAGGAUAAUUCUCAUAAUUUCAUUAAGCAAACCGUGACAUUAUUUAUGGUUAAGUAGUGACGUAUCCUUCAUGACAAGAUAAUUGUGCAUUACAUAAAUGCCAUGUUUAAUUUCAAGUAAUAGUUUAGCAUUUUCAUUAUACUUUCAUAAAUGCAAAUUACUUGUUAUUACUAUUGCUUUUGACUUACCACUUUCCUUUUGGGGCCUAGUGGUGCAUUGAGCUGAGGUCAGUAAUUACCCACUGGGAACUAUAAAGUAUAGUUCUCACGCCCUUUGUUUUAUGUUUUCUUUCAGAGCCUUCCACGCCGGGAGAGGCUAGGGACCGAGGGAAGGGAGUUGCUUCGAGAUAGCUUCCUUCGAGGGCAAUUUAAUAGGUGGUCUACCUCUCGUGGUUUUAUUUUGUGAGAGGUUGAGAGCUGUACCAGUGUACUAGAGACCACCCCUUUUGUGUACUUUUGGACAGAUACUGUAUCGCCUUAUAUUUACUUUUAUGGUUUAGCUAUGUUUCUUUUUACUCUGGUUUAGAUGAUAGAACUUACUUGCUCUGAUAUCGUUAGUUGCUACUCAUUUUAUUUAUUCUAUUCCUUGCUUUAUUUCCACUGUUGUUGUAGACGCCUUAUAUGUGCAGACAUAUGGCGGGUCUGGGUGCGCUCCGGGGAGGGCCUCUGCCGAUUCCGGGGCGUGACACUUACAGUUGGAUGACCUUUUGGUCGGUUAGCCCCGAGGGGCGAUGAUUGUCGGCUGGUUGCUGACGGUUGACUAUUGAUCAUAUCAGCAUUGAUCGCCACAGCUCGAGUGCAUUUCACGUACACCAGCGGGUUGAUCCCCCGCAGAAGGGUGUUCUUUUCCGGAAAAGUGGUCGUACAUCCGACCCGUGAGCCCAGCGGUGUUCAUUUUGUGCUAGGGUUACAUGCCAGGUGUGAGCAGGUAGUGGCUUUUGCCUGAGGUCCUUAGACUGACACGUCGGUUUAGAUUGGGUAUAUUUGGACUUCUUGUCCGGUUGACGCAUAUAGCUAUAGUAGCGAUUGUUGCUUGUAUCCCUUCAAUUCUUUCGUUACAUUGUCUUGCUACUAUAGUUUCGUUGCAUGUAUACUUUCAGUUGUUCAUUACAGUAGCGGUAGUUGUACUUUCUUUUAUAUAUAUAUAUAUAUAUAUAUAUAUAUAUAUAUAUAUCUUUCGUUUAUUAUUGUUGCUACUGUAUUUCCACUGACCCGUAUUGUUGUUUAGCUCUUCCUGAUCCGGUGAGUACUCCUCACCUUCAUCGGCUUGCGGUACCCACUGGAAGGGGAGACAUGUUUACAUGUUCUUACCUCCCCCACCAUUUUUCAGGUAUUGCAGGCGAUAAGUAGUGGGACGAGACGUGAGGUACGUUCGUAGCGGUCGAUAGAGCUUCCGACCCAGGUUAUGCAGUUUAGUUUCUAUCCUUACUAUUCUGUUGAUAUAGCUUAGACAGUUUAUAUGGUUCAGUACUUUUAUACAACUGAAUAUUGAGAUUUCAGCUGGUUUGUGAAUGGAAUAAAGAAUUAUGGGUUUUCAUAAAAUGAAAAGGUUUUCUACCCCUCGUGGUAGUGUGUUUUAAAAAGAAAAGUUUUCCGUGUGGGAAACAGCUUUCAAAAGAGUUUUCUCGUGAUUUUCUUGAAUUAGUAUUUCAAAAUAAGUUUCCGGGUAGGAAACGUUUUCAACUGAUAGUUGUGGAUUUAUAUUCAGAUCUCUAUUUAUGAACCUGUGGUGAAUGGUAUAUGGAUAUUGAAUGUAUGGCGACUUGUAUAUUCAUUUAGUGGUGGUUGUAUCCUGGUUACACUCUUGUACUUGUGCGACGCCGUGCAAAUACACGGGAGACUCUGUCCGUGUGAACAGUGAAUUUUCUGUAUUUGUGGUGGAUCUGGCAUACCCUGGGGUCAGGUUUUCAAAAAAAAAAAAAAAUUCCGCUGUGUUUUAACCUAAAAGGAGACCCCAGGGCGUGAGACCUCCAGUAAUGGCCUCUGCUGAGUAAUCAACAAGCUCAAGCUCUGCACUGAUUUCCUGCUCAACGCAUCUGCCACUACAUUCGCCUUACCGGGAUGAUACUGAAUACUAAUAUCAUAAUCCUUCAAUAACUCUAACCACCGGCGUUGCCUCAGGUUCAACUCCUUUUGAGUGAACAGAUAUUUGAGAUUUUUAUGAUCGGUGAAAACCUUACAGUGCUCGCCGUACAAGUAAUGCCGCCACAGCUUUAAAGCAAAAAUCACCGCAGCAAGCUCCAAAUCAUGCGUAGGGUAAUUUUUCACAUAAUCCUUCAAUUGCCAUGAAGUAUAAACAAUUACCCUACCAUGCUGCAUCAGCACACAAACUAACCCGCUGUACGACGACGUAUCACUAUAAAUCACAAAUCCUUCCCCCAUCAUUGGAAGGGCAAGGAUAGGAGCCGACAUCAACCUCUGUCUCAACUCAUCGAAGCUCCUCUGACAAUCCUCACUCCAGAUGAACUUAAUUCCUUUUCGAGUCAAUCGAGUGAAGGGUGUGGAAAGCUUCGCAAAGCCUUCCAAUAACCGACGGUAAUAUCCAGCAAGUCCAAGGAAACUCCUCACCUCAUUCACCGUCGUCGGUCUGGGCCAAUCCCGAAUAGCAUCAAUUUUCUUCGGGUCCACUGCUACUCUCCCUGUAGAAAUCACAUGGCCCAAGAAAGAAACCUCCCGCAGCCAGAACUCGCACUUCUUCAACUUAGCAUGCAACUUCUUCUCUCUCAGAAGCUAUAACACUAUCCUCAAGUGCUCCUCAUGCUCCACCUCACUCCAGGAGUAUAUCAAGAUAUCAUCGAUGAAGACUACCACAAAUAUAUCCAAGAACGGCUUGAACAUUCGAUUCAUCAAAUCCAUAAAUGCGGUAGGGGCAUUCGUUAAUCCAAAAGGCAUCACAGUAAACUCAUAAUGCCCGUACCGAGUCCAGAAAGCCGUUUUCGGAACAUCCUCGGCCCUCACCCUCAACUGGUGGUAACCUGACUGAAGAUCAAUUUUCGAAAAGACACAAGAUCCUUGCAGCUGAUCGAACAGAUCAUCAAUGCGUAGCAAAGGAUACUUGUUCUUGAUGGUCACUUUAUUCAGCUCCCGAUAAUCCACAUAUAAUCUAAGUAAAUCAUCAUUCUUCUUCAUGAAUAACACCGGCGCUCCCCAAGAUGAUACACUGGGUCUCACAUACCCCUUAUCCAUCAGAUUCUGAAGCUGCGCCUUUAGCUCUCUCAACUCUACCGGUGCCAUCCGGUAGGGUGCCUUCGAGAUUGGUGCAGUUCCAGGAACUACAUCAAUCACAAACUCGAUCUCUCUAUCCGGCGGCAUCGUCGUCAACUCUGGAAAAAAUCAUCCGAAAACUCGCGGACUAUAGGAAUAUCCUCGAGUCACGGUGCCGCCGUAGGCACCUCUACAACCGUCGCCAGAAAAGUAAUGCAUCCUCUACUCAUCAGCUGUCGAGCCCUCACCGACGAAAUUCAAGUGGCAAACAACAUACUCCUGCAGCCCCUGAACGUGAACCACUGCUGGCCUGGCUCACGAAACGUCACUGUCUUCGCUCCACAGUCGAUCGUAGCAUAAUACCGCGCUAGCCAAUCCAUGUCAAGCACAACGUCAAAGUCCUGCAGCUGUCCUAAAACCAACGAGUCUGCAGGUAUAAUCCAAGAGUCCAAUUGCACUAGACACGACCAACAACACUCGGCUACCUGCAAAAUAUGGUCGGGAAUCUGCACCUCUCGUGCAUGCAACAACGGCUCUAUCUCUAGACCAUGCAAAGAUACAAAAGCUCGGCUAACAAAAGAAUGUGAUGGAUUGGUAUCAAAAAGAGUACGAGCUCUAAUACCAGAAAUCAAAAUGAUAUCUGCCACCACUCGGUCAACUGCUAUACAGUCCUCCACCUGAGCUGCGUAUGCCCUACCACUCGGAGCCUACUGUUGCCGCUCACCCUUUCGCGGCGCAGAUGCUCUGUCAUCCAGGCGGUAACUCGCUGGUGCUCCGUAAGACUGCUGAGGUGCCGGCGGUGCUGACGCUGUCGAUGGUGCUGUGGAUGCUGCUCGGGGACAAGCUGACCUCAUAUGUCCUAACUGACCACAAGUAAAGCAGCGGCCCUCCCUCUGCUCACACUAUCGGGGCCAGUGUGGUCCCCCACAAAUCACACACUGCGGAGUCCCCCGUGACUGUCCCUGCUGACGGGAUCGUCUAGAACGCUGACGCUCCGAAGACCCACGACCCUGAGAGCGUGAUCGUGGAGGUCUCGGCGGACGCCUGCUGCUCGACUGUCCUCCAUCAUAUGAAACCGGGCGCUUCCUAUCCUGACUCUGCCCCGGCACCUGGGCCCGCUCCCGAAUAGAUACAUCACCUCUCUCCACCCACAAAGCCUGCUCCAUAGACGCAUCAAGGGUCCUCAACCUCUGCGCAUGUACAAGCCUGAAGAUCUCCGGUCUCAAGCCUCGCUCAAACAGAUACACCCUGUCACGCCCCGAGCCCACCUCUUUGGUCGGAUUCGGGCACGCCAACAGACCGCCGAACGGACAGGGUUUCCCCUGCAUGCGGACAGAGUCUCCCCUGUACGUUCAAGGCGUCGCAAUCAAUACAAUUACAAGAGGUUCCAAACAGGAACAAUUUUCAACAACGAUUGCAUAAGGANAAACAUGUUUUCAUCAUCUUUUCAUCCACGCUAAUGCCGGAUUUAGUCCAUGGUCCAACAUAGCCUUUCGGGUCCCGUUUUCGCGCCCUAUGCGCACCGAAGCACCCGAAUGCUUCCGAACUUCGCCGGAAUGAUUCCAAUGGCUUUCUAAGCUAACUUACAUCGUAACUUCGUGAAUUUAGAAGUUCGGUAUAUUACACACCCUGUGUGUCUUGUCUCUGGCUAUAAAUGGAACACAGUUAAGGAGUCGAGUAAACUCACGGAUGUACUCCUGAACUGAUCGCUCCCCUGCUGAAGCUUCUUCAGGUCCUCUUCGAGCUUCUGCUUCACACUGUUUGGAAAAUACAUCACAUACAGCAUUCCACAGAACUCAUCCGAACUCAUGUGCAACGCCACCAACCCUCAAUCUCUCCUCACUCUCUUCCACCAAGAAUGUGCGUCUCCGGCCAAGCAGUGAACUCCCAAGUGUACCUGCUCCCGCUCAGGAAUAAACAAAUCCUCAAACAGUUUCUCCAUCGGGCUGACCCAGCCCUCUACAACCCAGGGCUCUGUGCAGCUGCUGUCAUAGGUCGGCUAAUCAAAAUGGCGGAAACGAGUAAGCCUCUCUGUCAUCCGCUCUUGCUCAGCCUCUGACAUCUGUGACACCCCUCCAAAAGAUGUAACUGGUACCACAGGAACUAUCGCUGGUGGGGGUACCGCUGCGACUGGUGCGGCCACUAGAGUAGUCAGGAGUGGAGCUGACUGCUCUGGUACUCUCGGUGCUGUGCUCUGCGGCUAAGCUAAUGUCUCGCACAUCCUCUGCAGGAAUGCCCCCUGCUGCCUCGUCACCUUAGUCAGGGCAGCCAACUGCUCCCUCAGAUCAGGGAGUGUGCUCGCCUCUAGUUGUGCACUCGGCUUUGCCUGCUCAGACAUCUCAGGGGGUGCGGCACGAUCCCGCAUUAGCGGUCGACCUCGACGUCAAUAUAUAGCUGCAAAGAAAAGAAAUAAGGGUCAGAUACAAAACACAAUCAACUCUCGACCCAAUCAAGCGAAAGUCUAGAAGACAGCCUAUAACACACUAGACCUUUGCAAAUCGCAAGGUUUGAGUGUUUGACCGGUGUUCUAAGUUUUUCCAGAUAUUCUGGAUGGUCAUUAGCAGUGUUCCGACCUAUGGCUCGUAUCCUGAGAUUUGAUGAGUUUUAAGUAGCGCUAAGGUUACCAAAAUGAUGGACUUAGGCUGCUCUCGGGUUGUUGUUCGCAGGGCUAUGUACCGGUACAACAUUGAUGUUGUACCAGAACAGAUUGUGUACCGGUACAACAUCGGAAGUGUACCGGUAUAAAUGGGAUUUUCUGCCAACCCGAGCCUCGGGUUUGUACGCACAGGGUUUUGUACCGGUACACUUUCCUGUGUACCGGUACACAAUGCAGAUUUCAGACUGCGUGAGCUGAAGGGUGUUUUUGCAAUUGUGGGUUCUCUAUAAACACCCCACAGCCCCUUUGAAGCUCUCUUGAGCCUCAAACCGUGGAGAACAAGGGUGAGCACUUCCUCUUUGAUUUCUUCUCCAUUUUUGGUGGAUUUUAGCUAGUUUUGAUCUCCUUCUCUAUGCUUUUCUUGCUUCUUGUUGGGUUUUCUCCAUGGGAGAAGCCUUGAGCUCGUGAUUGGAGCUUGGUGGAGGGAGGAUCUUCAGCCCUAGCUUACUUGGAGCCUUGUUUUGGAGCUCUUGUGAGGUUAGUAAGCGUAAUCUACUUCUUGAUUCUUGUUUUAGUAGCUUUUACUAAAUGAAACCCUAGAUUGAGCAUAUUAGGGUUAGUAAUGGGGAUUUUGGAUUUGAGGGUUUUGGAGCCCAAUUGAUCUCAUUGGAACCUUUGUUUAGGUUGGAUUAAAAGACCUCUAACUCCCUUUUGGAGAUCGAGAGAGCUUUCUUCGCAUACAGUGAGUUUUCUUCACCUUUGCUUGAGUUGUUUAAUGAUUGAGCAAAUGAUUGUUCGUAACGUUCGUGUAUCCCUCAUUUUGUUACCUUUAGGGUACUAGGAGAGUGAUGGACACCUUCGUCGGAGCAAACGAAGGGUUUCAAAAAGUUUCGGUGGGUUUGGCUUCUUUAGAAUAGGAGAAAAUCUCUCCUAUGUGGUUAAAAGUUGUCGUUUCUUCGAAAUGCAUGCAUAUCUUUGUUAGAUAGAAUUUUUAUGAAUUUUAGAAUACUCUAAAUGAAUGUGUUAUGUUUCAUGAAAAUUCGACUAUGUAGUAGAGGUCUUUGCUUAACGUUCAUACAUAUUGAGGGUAUUCUACUUUACAAGUUUGGAAAUAUGUCUCUUGUGAUAAAGAGGACUAGAAAUAUGUAUUUGGGAAUAUUAAAUUCAUGUUUGGACAUAGUGAACAGCAGUGCCAUAAAGAGGCACUUGAACUAGUAAACUGUGAAACUGCAACAUAGAGACAUAGUAAUAGGCCGUUGUGACAUCAACUAUAUUCCGUGUUUUAGACACGAAGACAUAGUGAUAGGCCAUUGAGACAUAUGUUAUAUUUUCAUAUUUUAGAUAUGAUGACUUCAGACUUAAGACAGACUUAUAUGCUUACUUGCCCUUGUGCUCAUUCACAUAUGUUUGUCAGGGUCGCUCCCUACAAGCCGGCACUCCGGAGAUAGCCAUCGCGAUACAUACUCGCCGUGCGGGAUUGGGCGCCGAAGUGGAUUACCGUGGGCAUGGCUUAUUCCUAGAGUGGGGAUGUUAACUACCACGGGGCCAUUAGGCACGGUACAGGCCAGACAGUCUACGGAUGGGUCUUCAGGCCAGACAGUCUUCGGGUAGGUCUUACAAAAUUGAAACUAUAUGUAGUUGAUAUGCCAAGUAGACUUGAACUAGAAUAGUAAACAAUGACAUCUUACUAUUUCCGUCGUGGACAUUAUGUUGGUUGCAUACUUAUGCUUAUUCAUGUUAGCAUAGCUUUCUUACAUGUGCAAAAUCAUGCUAACUAGAGAUAUUAUGUUAUAGUAAGUUUACAUGUUUAUUUACAUGUCGUUCAUAUCGUUUUUACUUAUUUACUUACCCGUUUAAUUUUGGGGCCUAGUGGUGCACCUAUCUGAAGUCAGUAAUUGUCCACUGGGAACUAUUAUUUAAUAGUUCUCACGCCCUCUAUUUGAUGUCUUUUUCAGAGCCUUCAGCACCGGCGGAGGCAUGGGAUCGCGGCAAGUGAGUCGCAUAACUAGUUAGCGUGGAGCUUCCUUUUGCUCCUAGGUGGUCUACUCUCUUUUUGUGUUUUUGGUGAGAGAGAGUUUUGUUACCAUGUUUAGAGACCACCAUUGUAUUAUUCUUAGUCCUUGUACUUGGAUUUUGAUGUACUACUUUAUGGUUUUAUUUAGUGGAUAGCCUUAUGUUCCUUCCUUUAUUGUAGAAUCUAGCUGUAUUUUGCUCUGAUACUCCUAGAUGUUCUUAUUCUAUUGCUUUAUUUAUCGUUUGUCGUAGACGCCUUGUAUGUUUUAGACCUAUGGCGGGUCUGGUCACAUGCCGGGCGGACUUCCGCUGGGCUCCGGGGCGUGACACCGCCCCUAUUUCUCCUCAAAAUUAUGCCAUCUGCAGCCGACAUAAUUUUCCUGGCCGAAACAGACAUUCCUUCAGUCACUCACUCCACUCUAGGAGGAGUUAGAAUAGUUCAAUCACUGACUUUCGCGAUAAUUUACGCCUCUUAGUCUAGCCUUCUUAAGAUUUGCCAAACUUAGGGUUCUUAGAUAACAACGACCUAAUGCUAAGCUCUGAUACCAACUUAAUCUGUCACGCCCCGGAUUACUCGUUUCCUAACAGGAAUCGAGUAUUAUAAUUGGUUUUUUACAAAAAAAAUUUAUUUUUAUUUUCGCCCCCACUUUAAUCGUUUCUGCGGAAAAAUAGGAUUAGAUUUUACAACCCUUCGGCUGAUCACGACGGAGGCAUGUUACAAGUAGGGAUGCGAACGAAUCGGAUUCGGACGGAGUUUCAAAAAACCUCAACCCGAACCCAACUCAUAAAUAUAUGUAUGUGUAUGUGUGUAUAUAUAUAUAUAUAUAUAUAUAUAUAUAUAUAUAUAUAUAUAUAUANUAUAUAUAUAUAUAUGUAUAUAUGUAUAUACAUACACAUACAUACAUAUAUACAUACAUACAUACAUACAUAUAUCAUAUAUAUAUAUGUAUGUAUGUAUGUAUGUAUGUAUGUGUAUCUACGUAUUUUCUGAGCACGCCGACAAAUCCGUCGUAUACAAAGAAAUUUUUUUCUGUACACGAAGCGAUAGCUGUACUUGUACCUAUAAUCAUACAACACUACAACUAGUAGUAUAGAGCUACUAAAAAGAAACAUAUAUAAAUAACAUCAGUUGGACAUACAUACAUAGUAUCCUGAUACAAAAAAAUCGCUCGCUCCAGCGAGGAACUAACAUCAGUAUGUAUAAGAAUAAAAAACUACAACUAUCUAUAGCUGGUAUAAAUCUCUAGGUCAGCAGCAACUCGAAAGGGAUCUAACUCGCGACUCCCUUUCCACGAUCAGUCUCCACGACAGCAGCAACCGAAGAAGAGGGCUCUGCAAAAAGGAUCCACAACAAGGUGUGAGAAUUACUACAAAAAGAAGUAGUCCUCAGUGGGUACCGCUACCAACCUCAACGGCUCAACCACUAAGUCUACAGAAGUAAGCAGGAAUAGUAAGGAAAGCUGGAACAAAUCUACAGCUAUAUGCCGCUAUACUAUCAUGAUCCAACACUAACAAUCUGUAGAAAAUGUAAAUCCUGACCCAAUCUGACUCGGGACUGUGAACACACCCGUCCCACCUGUCGAAGCUACACUAACUGCCACAACGCUAGGUCGUCAAUAGAGAGCAAGUCCAUACAGGACAAACUGACAUCAACUCAAAAGCACUAAGCCCGACUCCGAAGUGGCACUCGUGGGCUCUACCGAACCGAGUAUGCAAGCGUGUCUCUGCUGAGCUCAAUCUGGCUCUCACAGGCUGUAAUCAAAGUAGAAUGGUCUAACUAGUCUAACAACCAUAAUCUACAUGCCCUCGGCACAAUCCAAUACAAAAAUUGCAAACUGGGUCCACAGUCAACCACAACGGCACCUGACAAUCCGGAACAAUCUGUAUACUACUGUAAAAAUACACUCGACAUCCCAGUACGAACGUAAUAUCAUUCUACACUAUUCUGGGUAUCCACCACUCACAAACUACGGCGAUACAAACCAACUAUGGCUCCUAGAGUUAAAUCUUGUAGUUUUAGAAAAUGACGGUGUAAAAUCGAUAGUUUUCUCCUAAGUCAAUUCCAAGUCCAACAUGUAUAUUUAAACUAAUAUUUUAAGCUCCAAAUUCAGAUUUCAAUAGGCAUGCAAAUCAAUGAGUUUGAGCUAAUUAACAUGAUUGAUAUAUAAUGUAACGUAUCGAAAUCUCAAUAGCAAUUAUCGAACUUUAGCCAAAUUGGUUAAAGUGCCGAGAGAAAUUGAUGGACAAACUCCAGUUGACAUACCAACAACGUUGGAAGAGUCAAAAUCGAGUCUCGAGGGUGUUAAGCAAGUUUUACCAUCGCUCGGCGCAUUUUAAAAUGUGAGCAAUGCGAAAGAAAUAGUUGGGCAAAUCCUAUUUAGCAUUCCAACAAUGUGGGAAGGGCUAAAAAUGAGUUUAAGAGGUGUUAGAAUGGUUUUAGUAUCGACCAACGUGAAGUAGAGUCGAAUCGGAGCUAAAACAACAUUCUGGGUAAAGUGUACCGGUACAACCAGUGAGUUGUCACCGGUACAGCAUUGCAGCUCGAGAAGAGUAACUCUCAGGUUUUGAGAAAAAUUGGAAGUGUACCGAUACACUUUGAAAAUGUACUGGUACAAAUCCCGCGUAAUCGAGAGAGCUGCUCUCGGGUUUGCCUCUGCGUAAUCGUGUUACCGGUGACACCCUAAAGUGUACCGGUACACUUUGGUCUGGCAGCAAUAAUGAAAUCUACUACAAAUAGAAAGAAGUGGAGGGUUUAUUUGUAAUUGUUACAACAUGUUAAUACCCCAAACACCCUCCCCUCUCUCUUUCACAGCCCACACCUCACUCCCUCUCAUUUCUCUCUUUCUCUCUCUAGAAACCUCUCCAAGGAGCAAGGAGGAGUAGGAGGAGAAGGAUUUUUGGAGGGAUUUAGAGCUUGGAGAAGAUCUAGAACUCUCCUACAAGGUGGAUAUUCGUGAGCUUUGGGCCAAGGUGAGGUUUUCAUGAAAACCUAGGCUAGGGUUUGGGUUAUGUCCUAGAAAAACUAGGUUUUGAUUUUCUAAUGAGUAUAGAAACCUAGUUGAAGCUAUAGAACACAUGAAACCCUAGUUUCUUUAAAGUGCUCUAAUGGUGGAUUUCUAGGGUUUGCUUUAUAUGCCCUAGAAAUGGUUUUGAUGGUUCUAAAUGAACUUCUAGAGGUUAGACAAGCUCUAUUUUGCUUGUUUUAGAGAUCAAAACCUAGAAUUGAGCAAACGGUGUUGUUAGGGCACCAAAUUUGAGGUUUUUGCCCUAUGGAGUUUUUAAGGCAAAUUGACCUUAUAAAAAUCUAAUUAGAGAUAUUCCCGACCCGUGGGACAACUCCGUUUUACGUUACGAAAAGGUUUAGAUAAAAUUAUUUUGAAAAAAAGCCUAAUUUGGCUUCGUUUUGCCGUAGGCAAAAAAGUAGGGCUUCAAAAAUCCCGAAAAAUUCACCGUAGCAUCCUCUUAACCAUCUAAGGCGGGUGGUGCAUACCGAGGAGCUCAAAAUUUCUUUUAUAUUUAAAGUGUCAUAUUUGAGCAUAUGUGUAUCGAGCAUAAAAUUGCAUAGUAGGGCUAUAUUUGAACCAUCUAUUGCAUGUUGUGAGUACAAAUGCAUGGGAGUUAUUAGCAAGAAUGUGAGAAUUUUAUUAAACCCUAUUUAUGCAUGACAAGUGACAAGAACUUAGUGGACUUAGUAAACAAAUGUGACAUCUAGACUUAGAAAUAGAAAGUGACAAUGAUGAGUCGAAAAUGCUAGAGUUGGAACACUUAAAAAAUAAGUGUGGCAUGUGUACAAGAAUAUAGUAGUGUAUAUGACACUAGUGAAAGUAAAGAAUGCAAGUAAAAGUGUGAUAGCGACAUUAUGACAUAACAACAUUAGAGUUAAGGGUCAUAUGUGCAUUGUUUCCUUAUAGUUAAGGAAUGGAUUGAACUUUACAUCCUUAUAGUUAAGGUGUAACGUAUCGAAACCCGAAAACGAUAAUCGAGCUUUAACCAAAUUGGUUAAAGUGUCGAAGGAAAGCGAUGGACAAGUUUCUUUUGCAUUCCAAUAAUGUUGGAAGGGCUAAAAAUGAGUUGGGAAGACUUAGAAUGGUUUUGGCGUCGACCGGCGCGAAGUAGAGCCGAAUCGAAGUCAAAAACUGCAUUCUGGAUGUCUUGUACCGGUACAAGGGUGAUGGUUGUACCGGUACAACCAGCGACCAGAGCUCAGACAGCUCUCGGGUUGGUGCAGUCCCGGCGCUGUACCAGUACAAGGCCCUCUUGUACCGGUACAAGACCUGCGAAACCGAGAGGCAGCUCUCGGGUUUGACUCACUGCUUGGCCUUGUACCUGUACAAGAAUCCUUGUACCGGUACAAGAGGCCCCAGACAGCAUUUUGAAGUCUGAUGCAAAUAAGACUUUGUGGGGGGUUUGUUUGCAAUUGUUACAACAUGUAAUAGAGGUAUUCCCUCCUCUCUUCAUAGCACACACACCUCUCCACUCUCUUUCACAUUUCCUCUCUUUCUCUCUCUUAAACCCUAGCUCCAAGACUUGGAGAAGAAGGAGAAGAAGGUGGAGAAGGAUUGGAGGAGUGAGUUUAGAAGGCUUUGGUGGUUCUAGGAGCUCACCUACAAGGAGGAUCUUGUUGGAGCUUCGGCUAAGGUGAGGUUCUACACAAGUUGAGCCUAGGGUUUGGGUUUAGACCUUAGAUUUUUGGGCUUUGAUCUCUCUACAAGUGAGGAAACCCUCUAGAGACCUUGAAACCAUGAAAUCCAUGGUUAUCUUGGACCCCUCUCAUGAUGGAUCACUAGGGCUCAAAGUAGAUGCCCUAGGGAUAGUUCUAAAAGCUUAGAAACCUUAUUAGAGAGCUUCCCAAGUGAUUCUAAGCUUUCUUUUGCUUAGCAAUGAGAUCAAUUUAGGGGAAAUGCAAAAAUGGCAUGUUAGGGCAUCCCAAAGAGGGGUUUUGCCUAAGUUGGGUUUUGAUCUAUUUUGAUCAUAUAGAAACCUAAUUGAGGGUAUUUUAAACGCGUUGGAACGCUCGGUUCGACAAUCCGACGAGUGUACGCAAAGUUAUUGACAAAAACGUCAUUUUCCGUACAAUAGCCGCAGCACGCGGACUAGGGCUUCAAAAAUUUUAAGAAAUUCACCGUAGCAUCCUGGUAACCAUCUAAGGUGGGUGGUGCAUUCCAAGGACAUCGGAAAUUCCUUUAUGUCUAAAGUGUCAUAUUUGAGCAUAUGUAUUUAUAUUGAGCAUGUUGCAUAGUAGGGUUAAUUAUAAAUUUCUAUUGCAUGAUAUGAGUUCUAAUGCUUGAGAAAUAGUAGUGAAUGAAUGAGAAUUGGUAACCCUAUAUAUGCAUGACAAGGGAUAAGAACCUAGAAGAGUUAGUAAACAAAUGUGACAUGUUGACAUAGACAUAGGUUGUGGCAUGAGUACAAGAAUAUAGCACUUAGAAAACAAGUGUGGCAUCAAUGACAAAGAACAAGAACAAGUAGUGUACAUGACACUAAUAGAGGUUAGAGAAUGCAAGUGAAUUGGAUUAGUGACAUUAUGACAAAUGCACCUUAGAGUUAAGGGUCAUAUGAACAUGGUUCUCCUUGGAGUUAAGAAAUGGAUUGAACUUGGAAUCCUUAAAGUUAAGGAUUGAUCGUACUCACCUAAUAGUCCUUGCUUGAGGGCGGUAGCUCCCCCUCGGGCGAUGUGCUCCAGAGUUGUCAUCACUGGGUCGUAGCGAUUAUCUCCCCAGAGGGCGGUCCCGUCGGGUCGUAGCGGUUAUCUCCCCGACAAUAGGGAUUUGGGUUGGUGAGUUUGUUAGGGCGAAACCUACGGGCUAGCCAUGAGAUUGGGUAAUGAAAAGUUAAUCUUGCAUUCAUCAUGAACAUACUAUUGAGCAUAGUUUUACUUAUCGUUCAGGCAUAUUAGCUGUAUUUGUUAGUUGGUUAUUAUCUAUUCUUUCUUCUAUUAUGCUUUAUUAGACCUAGUGGGAUAGUUGGCGUGAUUGCUUGUCGAACCCACUGGAAACUUUGUUGUAGUUCUCACCCCACUAUUUCCAUAGAGGCGGGACCAAGCGAGCCGGCAGAUGAUCGUGGUAAGGGCAUCGCGCCCUAGGUAGUGACCGCCCGAGAUGGUUUUCAUUUUGUAGUUGCAUACCCUUUACUAUCAUCUUUUGUAUUUGAUGAUUUUAGUAUCAUGAACUUGCUUUAAUGAAUGAUGUAAGGGAUAUUUAUUUUAAAUGUCAAAAGUUAUAUUUUGGGUGAAAUGAGAUGUAAAAAGAAAUGAUGCAAGAAUGUGAAAGAACUUGAUUAUAAUUGGAUGCAUGUAUGCAAUUUAAAUUUAGUCAUAUUACUUGUAUGUUGAAUUAUUAACUCUUUCACUCUGGCUAUUGCUUGCCCUCGUGCAAGCCAUUGUGUAUGCUUCCGCUGUAACGCACUGGACCUUUGCAAAUUGCAAGGUUCGAGUGUUUGGAUGUAUUUCGAGCUUUUCCAUACUAGGUGGAGGGUUGUAGAAUGUUUUCCGACCUAAAAAGUUCGAAAAUUGGAAUUCUGGACAAGUCCUGAGAGUUUUUUGUAGCACACUGGACCAUUGCAAAGUGCGAGGUUCGAGUGAUCGAUUUGUAUUCCGAACUUUUCCACACUUGGUGGAGGGCCGUCGAUGGUAUACCGGCCUAAAAGUUCGAUCUCGAGAGUUUUGGCGGUGUCCUGAGAGUUUUCACUCUCGGGGACCGGUCCCUGAUAGGAGAGACCGGUCCCCCAGUGAACAGUGCUGCGCAGCCGGCGAGGCAACCGGUCCCUGGCAGUCGAGACAGGUCCCCGAGCGCGUCUGCGCGGGGAGAGACCGGUCCCGCGCAGGGAGAGACCGGUUCCCGAACGUUGGAUUUUCGGGGGCAGGCUGAGAGACCGGUCCUAGGUCGGGGAGACCGGUCCCUCUGGGCGAAAACUGCCCAGACCGGGCUGAUGUGAUUUUGAGUUUUUGAGGGGCCUAAGUGAAUUUUGUUACCUUAGAGGCUAUAGGCAGCCUCUCCUCCCCUCUCACUCUCAUUUUCUCUCCCUCACACUCUUCCUACACUUCUAGAGAGAGAAAGGGAAGGAGAAGAAGGAGAAGAAGAGGAGAAGGAGCUUGCUUGGAGGCCUUGGAGCACCAUCUUCUUCCUCAUUUCUCACCUUUGGAGGCUUGGAGCUUGCUUUUGGAGCUUUGUGGUGGAUCAAUCUUCAACCCUAGAAGAUUUUGAGCUUGGAUUGGAGCAUCCUAGAGGUAAGUGGCAAGGUUCCUUCCUUUAGAUCUUAGUUUUGGAGCUUUUUGCUUGCUUAAACCCUAGAUUUUGGAUUUUAGGGUUAGAUUUGGGGGUUUUUGGAUUUGAGGCUUCUUGAUCUCAUUUGAAUGGUUUGGAAUCUUUAUAUAGGUUAGAUUGGGAGACCUCUAAAUUCCAUUUGAGGAUUAAAAGAGGUUUUCUCACUUGAGGUGAGUUUUCUUCAACCCUAGCUUGAGGAGCUUAAUGAUUGAGCUAUUUGCUCUUCGUUUCGUUGGUUGACCCUAUUUUUGAUGUUUCUAGGGUACUAGGAAGCUUGUUGACACCUUCGUUCGGCGAAACGAAGAAGCCGAUUUUGGGUGGGUUUGACUUCAUGAAAAUGGGGCAAAAUGGCCCUAUGCCUUCUAAACCUUUGUAAAGUAUUUUGAAUGAAAAUUCAUGUUAAACAUGAUUUAUAUGAACUUUAGAACACUUAACAUGCAUGCCUCAUGUAUCGUGAAAUUUAUACUCCAUAUAGUAGAGCCAUAUGUGUAGAUUGCAUGCAUUGUGGAUAAUGCUUGGUUUUGCAAGUUGAGAACAUGUCUCCAUGCUAGAAUUGAGUGAACUAUGCAUCAUGAACAUAUUAAUGCCAUGCUUGGGACUCGUUGAACAAAAGUGUCAUAAAGAGGCACUUGGAAUUAGUAAACUAUUAAAAUGCAACUUAGAGACAUGAUGAUAGGCCAUUGUACAUCUGCUAUAUAUAUUCUAUGUUAGAUACAUGAUGACAUAGAGAUAGGCCUUUGGAACAUUCGAUACAUUCCAUGUUAUUAGACAUGAGGACUUGGUACUUGUGAUAGGAUAUACGACUACUUGCCAUUGUGCUCAUUCGCACAUGCUUGUGAGGGUCGCUCCCUACAAGCCNNNNNNNNNNNNNNNNNNNNNNNNNNNNNNNNNNNNNNNNNNNNNNNNNNNNNNNNNNNNNNNNNNNNNNNNNNNNNNNNNNNNNNNNNNNNNNNNNNNNNNNNNNNNNNNNNNNNNNNNNNNNNNNNNNNNNNNNNNNNNNNNNNNNNNNNNNNNNNNNNNNNNNNNNNNNNNNNNNNNNNNNNNNNNNNNNNNNNNNNNNNNNNNNNNNNNNNNNNNNNNNNNNNNNNNNNNNNNNNNNNNNNNNNNNNNNNNNNNNNNNNNNNNNNNNNNNNNNNNNNNNNNNNNNNNNNNNNNNNNNNNNNNNNNNNNNNNNNNNNNNNNNNNNNNNNNNNNNNNNNNNNNNNNNNNNNNNNNNNNNNNNNNNNNNNNNNNNNNNNNNNNNNNNNNNNNNNNNNNNNNNNNNNNNNNNNNNNNNNNNNNNNNNNNNNNNNNNNNNNNNNNNNNNNNNNNNNNNNNNNNNNNNNNNNNNNNNNNNNNNNNNNNNNNNNAAAGAGAGAUGCCAUAACGUCUAAAAACGUAUAAGCCUCUAAAAAUAAUCAAUAAUAAGCAUAAUAAAAGACAUCUAGAUAGUCAGAGCAUAAUAAAGGUCUAAAAGCUACAAUCAGGAUAAGGAUAAAACUGUAAAUUCACUACAUAAAACAUAAAGCGGAUACAAGAAAAUUCAGACACAAAUGCUAUAGGUAGAUACAUGGUGGUCUCAACAGGAUACAAAAACUCUCCACCUCUCAACUACAAAAAGAAAGAGUAGAACCACCUAUGCAAAGUACCGCUCCUCGCUAGCUAGCUAAGUGAUCCCCUUGCCGCGAUCCCCGUGCCUCCGCCGGUGCCGAAGCUCUGAAAAGUAAAACCAUAAAAACAGGGCGGAGAAACUAUUAAAAUUAGUUUCCCAAGUGGGCAAUUACUGACUCAGUGAAUGCACCACAAGCCCAAAGCUACAAAAGAUUCAGUGACUACAAAUGUAGAAAAGCAAAAGGUUAAGUAAGAAAAUGUAACCUACUACAACAUGAUAUUUUUACUUAGCAUAAAUAGCACUAAGUAUGACAGCAACUAUGCAUGAAGUAAAAGCUUCAACACCAUAAUGUUCACAAUGCGAAAUAGUAAAAUUCCGUUGUUUACUAUUCUAAGUCAAUGUCCAAGUAGUACACUAAGUCAUCAUCUGUCCUCAUGUCAUAAUGAAUACUCAAAGUCAAAUCUGAAGAGACCACCCGAAGGCGUUCUAUGGCCCUGAGACCCACCCGUAGACUGUCUGGCCGGUGCGAGCCUAAUGGCCCCGUGUAGUCUCAUCCCCCACCCUAGGAAUAGCCUAGUCCCACCGGCAAUCCACUUCGGCGCCCAAUCCGCACGGCGAAUAUGAAUCGCGAAUGGCUUUCUCCGGAGUGCCUUCUGGACAAGUCCUGAGAGUUUUUACUCUCGGGGACCGGUCCCUGGAAGGAGAGACCGGUCCCCCAGUGAGCAGUGUUGCAGCAGCCCUGAGGCAACCGGUCCCUGGCGGGCGAGACCGGUCCCCGAGCGCGCCUUCGCAAAGAGAGACCGGUCCCACGCAGGGAGAGACCGGUUCCCGAACGUUGGUUCUCCGGGUUCGCAGCGAGAGACCGGUCCCUGCUGGGGAGAGACCGGUCCCUCUGGGCGAAAAUUGCCCAGACCGGGCUGAGGCAAUAUUGGAUUUUUGGAGGACCUAGCUGGAUUUUGUUACAAUAGAGGGUCUAUAUGACCCCUCCACCCUCUCUUCUCCUCAUUUUUCUUCUCUCAACUCUCUCC